AGAAGUCUGGACGGAGCAACGCCGCGUGAGUGAUGAAGGUUUUCGGAUCGUAAAGCUCUGUUGUUAGGGAAGAACAAGUGCAAGAGUAACUGCUUGCACCUUGACGGUACCUAACCAGAAAGCCACGGCUAACUACGUGCCAGCAGCCGCGGUAAUACGUAGGUGGCAAGCGUUGUCCGGAAUUAUUGGGCGUAAAGGGCUCGCAGGCGGUUUCUUAAGUCUGAUGUGAAAGCCCCCGGCUCAACCGGGGAGGGUCAUUGGAAACUGGGAAACUUGAGUGCAGAAGAGGAGAGUGGAAUUCCACGUGUAGCGGUGAAAUGCGUAGAGAUGUGGAGGAACACCAGUGGCGAAGGCGACUCUCUGGUCUGUAACUGACGCUGAGGAGCGAAAGCGUGGGGAGCGAACAGGAUUAGAUACCCUGGUAGUCCACGCCGUAAACGAUGAGUGCUAAGUGUUAGGGGGUUUCCGCCCCUUAGUGCUGCAGCUAACGCAUUAAGCACUCCGCCUGGGGAGUACGGUCGCAAGACUGAAACUCAAAGGAAUUGACGGGGGCCCGCACAAGCGGUGGAGCAUGUGGUUUAAUUCGAAGCAACGCGAAGAACCUUACCAGGUCUUGACAUCCUCUGACAACCCUAGAGAUAGGGCUUUCCCUUCGGGGACAGAGUGACAGGUGGUGCAUGGUUGUCGUCAGCUCGUGUCGUGAGAUGUUGGGUAAAGUCCCGCAACGAGCGCAACCCUUGAUCUUAAGUUGCCAGCAUUUAGUUGGGCACUCUAAUGUGACUGCCGGUGACAAACCCGGA
rnacentral:rRNA from 1 species